GGAGGAGGAGGAGGAGGAGGGCGAGGGCAUCCCCGCGCAUGGCGGCCGGGGCUGGCACCGCGGCCCCCGGGGCCGCCGCGGGGCCGCCGCCGGGCGGCACGAGGUGCCGUGCCACAGCCGCGGCGGCCGUCGGGUGACCUGUGUGCCCCGUGCAGGGCGCGGCGCCGCCUGCGGGGCGCUCCGGGGGCGACGGGGAGCGGGGGCGGCGCCCCCCGCCCGGCGCUGCCGCAGUCCCGCCGUACUCGGUACUUUUAACGGGCCUGCGGUGCGCGGCCCUCCCGCUCCGGUGGGCACUUGGGCAGCCUGCGCCGGGCAGUCGCGACUGAGCGGGGAGUCGUGUUUGGCGUCAGUGGCUUAUGCGAGAGCAGACCGUAUCGCGUGUUCAGGGUACCAAACAUACAGGUUCCAGCCCGGGCUUGAUGCAUAGUACUACGGGAUCCUGCUGAAUUUCUAAGAAAACUUGAUUGUGUUCAGGGAAGAAGAAGGUAUCCUAUCAUGAGAAAAAAAGAAGAAACAUGCAAAUCCAGAAGGAAUUAUGUUCUAAACCCAAGACCUAUUUUGUUUCAUUUUGUUUUGGUUUUAUGUGCAUUAGUGCAUCAUUAAAUAGUGUCUACUAUUUGGAAGUGCCAUCAGGAAACGUACCGAAUAGAAAUGAAGAACAAGACUCUGUUAUAUCCUUCAUAUUCCUUGCUUUUAAUUUAGACUUUGACUGAGCCAAAGGUUGACGAGCAUCUGGGAAGUAUCUGAAUAAAAAAGCGAGACCAGAAAUGGU